GCCAGAUUCUGUCUCAAAACAAACAAACAAACAAACAAACAAAAAAACUUACUUCCAUACAAUUCUUUCAGAUUGUGUGGCUUAGCAUUCUGAAACAAGUCUGAACAGAGCUAAAAUUCACCCUCAGUGAUUCUCUGCACUGAUAUAUGUAAACAAACCCUUGACCCUUAGACUAUGUUUUAGUUUCCCUUUAAAAACUGAAUUACAAGUGCUGUAUUGAUCAUUUGUAUAUAUUUGUCCCUAGGUAUACAUGGGGGAUCAGUUCCAGGACCACUUCCCCAAUACCAAAAUUCGUGCAUACUCAAGUCCUACAUUUGGCCCUGUGAAACCCGAUUAGAUAUACAAAAAGGCAGCCCUCCACGUACUCAGACGAUGGUACUGCUGGUGGCCAAAAGAAUAAAACAUUAAGAGAAGAAACAGCAUUUGAAUUUGGUGUCCUGAAUGUGAAAGGAUAAUAGAUAUUCAUCAGUAAAAGAAAAUGCCUCUUGCCUGACUGCCUUUGAGCUGGUAUUUUCCUGUCUUCAGACUCAAACUAUAACAUCAGCUCUCUCUGGAUCUCAGGCCUGUCAGUCUUCAGACUCUGCGGGUCUUCAGCUUGCCGACUCACCCAGAAGAUCUUGCAAUUUGUCAGCCUCCAUAAUGAUGGAACCAAUUUUUUAUAAUAAAUCUCU